CUCGACAAAAACGGUUGCAAAAACAAAGUCGACAACUAGUUUGAAACUUUAGUUUUUCCUCAAUUUAAAUUCGAUUAUUGCGUUUCUUGAUCUAAAUAGUAUUUUCAUUCAAUUAAUACUAUUCUAGAACUUAAAUAAGUAAUUUUAUACAGUUAACCCCUUCCAUCAUUAUUUUAAAAAAUUACCCUAAUAUUUUAACUUUUGUAUGAUUUAGUCUCUAAACCUAAAACUUGUAAAAUUACGAUUUUAAAAGAAAAACCAUAGUAGUUGGUUUUCCUAGGGGUCAAUUACAGCCCAUAUCUUUCAUUAAUUCACCCUAUUUUCAUUGGAUUUUAAUAUUUUAACAAUUUAAUCCUUAAAUAUUAAAAUUAUUAAAAAUCACUUAACAAAUUACUUCUUUUUAGCUACCAACCUUAAUAAUCUAUCAACUAAGUUCAAAAACACUUUAAUUUUAUCAAUGGCAAAAAACGUUUAACAAUUUUACAAAUUAACCCUCGGGUUAGCUAGAUUAAGCUAAUAUAGUAACAGAAACAUAAAAAUCAUUAAAAAUAGACUGAAACUUCAUACCAUGCAAUUGAAAUUUCUUUGGUCGAAGCUUGCUCCUCCCUUGGCUAUGGUUUUUCCGUUCUAGGGUGAAAGAAAGGAUGAAAAUGAUGAUUAUUUCAUAUUGUUUUACUUUACUAUUUACCUAAAAUUAUUAUUUUUAAUUAUUCUUCAUCUAUCUGCUCCUUUGUAGUACAUUUCUAAAAUAAGACCUUGGUUUUUCUCUAUUUUUUUUAUUUUUCGCUAGAUCUGGUGGUUUUUUAUUCUUUAGUUUGGGUUUUGUUUGUAUAUGAAGGAAUCUAAAAUAGAGGCUAACAUGGCCAAGUUGCGUAUAUCGGAUGGGAAGAAGGAGAAAGUCCUACAGAUUGAGGGAAUUUUCGAGGGAAAUCACAGGCUGUAUGAUCUAUGCUUUGUGGGUUUCCUUACUGCUAGUGUGGUUUAAUUUCAAGUUAUGUGAAAUACGUUAGCAAAUCUCUGGCAUCCUUUAAGAGACAUUGAGAUCUCGGAUCUAGGGGAGAAGAGAUUUUUGUUUAGGUUUUCUCAUCAGGUUGAUUUCGAGUGAGUGAUAAAAGGGGCGCCCUAGACUUUUAAGAAUCGUCUAUUGAUUUUUCAUCGGUUUCUAAGAAGAAAGAGGGUGAGCAAUUUCUAGCUUAUCAAACUAAUUUAUCGGCAAUCACUUGGGGGCAUGUCGACCGACAUCAAUGAAGAUUAUGAGUUGGAAUGUUCAUGGAUUGAGGAGUCCAUGAGUAUUAAGGAGGCUUCAACAUAUGUUGAAACUUCACAAUUCCUAAGUUGUCUUAUUGAUGGAGUUGAAGUUGGAUUCUGUCAGAAUGGAGAGAGUGUGUCAUCUGAGGGGUUUGUGCAUGGUAUUGAUGUUCCAGUAGUGGGUACGAAGGGGCUUUAGUUUUGGGUGGAAGAUUGAUAUUGACAUUAAUUUGUGAAAUUUUUUUACUAACCAUAUUGAUGUGGAUAUUUAUGGUCCUGAUGAUGGAAUUAAUUUGAGGCUAACAGGGUUUUAUGGCUCUCCUAAUAUGAGAAACUGUAGUACAUCUUGGCAUCUACUUCGAAGCUUAGGGAGGGAUUAGAAUUUGUCGUGGUUGGUACAUUUUACUCUUUUAAAAAGAAAGGGAGUGUUUUGCGUGAUGAUAGAAGGAUAGGAGAGUUUCAACGGGUGUUGAGGGACUUCCAAUUGGAGGAUUUAGGUUUUAAAGGUCCUUCGUUUACUUGCGAGAUGGGUAACUUUGAGCAUAAUAAUAUAAUGGAAAGGUUGGAUAGGGUAGUUACGAAUUUUGCUUGGCGGGUAAAGUUUCCAAAUUUUGUGGUGUGCCACUUGCCUCACUCAUUUGUUGAUCAUUGUCCUCUAUUGUUGGUAAUAGAUAAGGGGGAGGGGAAUAUUCAGAGUAAUCAUUUUCGGUUUGAAGCAUCUUGGACGUUAGAAGAUUCAUGUGAAGCUAAAGUUCGUAAACUUUGGGAGCAGAGUAGGGGUACUCUUCCACAUCGGCUUGAGUUGUUGGGGCAUGGUUUGGAAUCUUGGGCUGAUAGGUUGAGAAAGGAGAAGGGUAGAAGGUAGAGGCAUCUUUGUAGAAAGAUUGAGGAAUUUAACUUGGGCGAAUGGGAUAAUGAUAGCAUUUUCAAUCUUAUGGAGAGUAAAAUUGAUUUGAAUUUGGAGUUAGAGAAAGAAGGAAUGUAUUGGGAGCAAAGAGCACGUGUGAAUUAGUUAAAGCAUGGUGAUCGUAAUAUGAGUUUCGUUCAUCGUAUAACAUUUCAAAGGAAAAGGAUGAACAUGGUGAAAUGGUUGGAUAAGGGAGAUGGUCAUGUAACUAGUGAUGUAGGGGAGGUGAAUGAAAUUGCCAGGGAGUAUUUUAUGGAGUUAUUUACCUUUUAGGGAUUGUGUGAUUCUGAUCAUAUUUUGGGGGGUGUUAAUGGGUGUAUUUUGGAGGACAUGAAUCAAUGCCUCACGACCUGAUAUGAAAGAGAUAAGAUGCUUAUAACAAAGAAAGCAAUGGUGCCCACAAAGGCGUCAGGACCUAAUGGUUUUCCUGCUCUAUUCUUUCAAAAUUAUUGGCAUAUUGUAAGAGAGGAGGUGGGAACUUAUUGUGUUAAUACCGAAAACAUCAAAACCGAAUAAUAUGAAAAAUUUUCACCCUAUAAGGCUCUGCUCGGUGUUGCAUAAAAUUAUCUCUAAAACCGUGGCUAAUCAUUUCCAAAAAGUUCUAAGUUGUUGUAUUGAUGAAGCGCAAAGUGCUUUCAUUCCUAAGAGGUUAAUUAUUGAUAAUAUUUUGCUUGCGUAUGAGAUCUUAGAGGUGUUUAAAUGGAAAAGGAUUGGUAUGAAGGGUUAUUUUCCCCUUAAACUCGAUAUGAGUAAGACAUAUAAUGGGGUGGAAUGGGAGUUCUUGAGGAAGAUGCUUUUGAAGAUGGGUUUUGUGGAAAGAUGGGUUGGUUUUAUUCAUAAUUGUGUGAGCUCAGUAACCUGUUCUGUAAUUCUCAAUGGAGAGGUGAGUCAAAGGUUUUCACCCCGGAGGGGACUUCGUGAAAGAGAUUUGCUUAGCCCGAUUUGUUUUUAAUAUAAAGUGAAUGUUUAUCCUCGAUGCGCGUGGCAAGUCAGAGUAGAUUAAUCAAAGGCGCAAGAAUCGGUAGGGGGACCAAAAAUUUCUUAUAUUCUGUUUGCUGAAGAUUGUAUCUUAUUAGGGGGUUACGUGAGAGAAGCAAUGUUUCUACAAUAGAUUCUUAAAGAAUACAAGGAAGCGUUGGGCCAAUGUGUUAAUUAUGAAAAAUUUGCUAUCUAUUUCAGUUCAAAUGUGGGGGAUGAUAUAAGGUAUGAGAUAUCAAGGUGCUUGGAGGUUAGUAUUUCAACUGACCCUUAAAGAUACUUAGACUUAACUAUUAUGGUUGGAAUGAGUGAAAGGCGGGCGUUUCAAGGAUUGAAGGACCGUAUGCGGUGUCGCAUUAACAAUUGGUGUGUGAAAGCAUUGUCUCAAGGGGAAAAUAAGUUUUUAUAAAGAGUGUUCUACAAGCUAUUCUCACUUUAACGAUGUCUUGCUUUUUAUUACCAACUUCAUUAUGUCAAGAUCUAGAGCAUAUUAUCUCUCAUUAUUUGUGGCAAAAAUUUUAUGGUAAGCAAAGGAUUCAUUGGUGUGCAUGGUCUAUGUUGUGUUCAUUGAAACACCAUGGUGGGAUGGGUUUUCAAGAUCUUAGUAAGUUUAAUUUUGCUCUUUUGGCCAAGUAGGGUUGGCGAUUAAUUAAAGAUCAGAGUUUAUUAUUGGCGCGAUUGUUUAAAGCUAAAUAUUACCCUAAUUUUGAUUUUUUGAAAGCUAGUUUAUGAGUCUACCCAUCUUAUACCUAAAAGAGUAUAUGAUCUACAAAGGGUCUGCUUCUGAGGGCCUGGGCUAGCAAGUGGGCACAGGCACAAGCAUUGACAUAUAAGAGGAUAGCUGGGUCCCUGGUCUACCUAUACAAAAAAUUCAGGCUAUGGAUGAGAACAUACAUUAUAGAAAAACAUCUGAUUUAAUUGUUCAUCAAGAACGGGUGUGGGAUGUGGGAAUAAUUACUAGUUGUUUUGAUCUUGAUGUGGCGAGUAGGAUUCAAUGUAUUCCUCUUGCCUCGCAUCCUCAACCGGAUAUGGUGGUUUGGCGAGUUGAACCCGCAGGUGAGUAUACCAUUCAGAGCAGUUACAGAUUAUUACAAGGAAAUAAAGAGUUAAAUGAAAAUGCAGUGGAUUGUUACAAUAUUUUUUACAAGAAGCUAUGGAAACUAAAAAUUCCAAAAAAGGUUAAAAUCACAGUCUGACGCAUUUCCAAGAAUCUAAUUCCUAAUUCACACAACUUGUACAAUAGACGCUUGGUGGGUUCUACGAUUUGCCCAAAGUGUGUACGGGGUGUGGAGGAUUUGGAGCAUGACUUUCGGGAUUAUCCUUUUGUUGCUGUUGUUGGGACCUAUUGAAUAUUAAAUGGAAUGGUGAAGAGGGCGGUCACAAUUUUCAAGAUUGGUUACUGAGAAUGUUUCAUAACUCUUCGGAAUAUACCCAUAGGCAGAUUUCAUGUAUGAUCUGGUUCCUCUAGUUAGAGAGAAAUAAAUGGGUGCAUGACAGAUCGUUUGCCUCGUCAUAAUAGAUUGUAAGUAAGAUUUCGUCCUAUAUGUAUGAACUUAAUGUAAUUGAGAAGAAAUUACCUGUUACGAAAGUGGGUUUUGAGAGGUGGAGACCACUAGAUGAACCUUUCGUUAAGAUAAAUUUUGAUCCGGCAUUUCAUGUUCUUACUUCAAAUUCCUGUUCAGGGAUAAUUAUCAAAGAUGGUAGAUCUAGAACUAUUGUUGAAAAAGUAACUGUAAAUGGAAACAUACCGUCGGUCUUUGCGGCUGAGGCACUUGCAUGCCUUUAAGCGCUUAGAUUGGGGGUGGAUCUUGGUUUUAAAAGGGUGGUGGUGGAAGGGGAUUCUCUUUCUGUGAUAAAGAAAACGAACUCAAGUUGUGUUGAUAGAUCAGCAUUGGGGCGUAUAUUCAUGACAUUAGAAUUGAACAACGAAAAUUUGGAGACUGUGAGGUUAUUUAUGUCCCCGAGAGGUGAACAUAUUGGCUUAUUUCCUAGUACAAGAGGGAUGGAGAAGGGGAGAUGGUCUAAAUCUGGAAAAUAGUUACCUGGUAGAGAUGGUGGCUUUGAACUGUAGGGGUGUUGGAGAGGACGACGGAGCGGGUGUUGGAAUGGCUUGUGGGUAGUUGAUGUUUUAUUCAAAAGGGUUUUGGUGAUGGGGAUUUUUUAUGAGGGCGAUAAGAACGAUUGGUUUUCUGAAAGCAGGGAUUAAAGGAAAUGGCGGUUUCCAAUGGUUUUCUGACCUACUCCUGUUGUUUGUAGUCUCCCAUGGUCUACACGUGUAUUCAAUAUGGUGCGUGGCUUUUCUGUCUAGGCUGGAGUUGCUUGUUUUGUUUUCUUUUUGCUGCUAUUUGUUUUUCCGAGCUUUUGUUUCAACUGUUUU
rnacentral:lncRNA from 1 species